GCUCUGUCACACACAUUCUUCCCCUGUGUUUCUAACCUCAUGCAGAGUGCAGCCCAGCCCUGUUGGGUCUAGAAACUGGGAAUUUAAACUCAGGCAGGAGAGAGCAUGCGAAGGAGAAAGCUCUUCCAAAAGACAGAGGCAGAGAGACAAAUGAUUCCAUCUGGUGAACUUCUGAGAGGCCCAUUUGGAAGAAAAGAAUGUGAACAAUUCCCUGGCUUGAAAUUGAGA
rnacentral:lncRNA from 1 species